GGCCAUGCUAGCUCAGUCGGUUAGAGCGUCGUGCUAAUAACGCGAAGGUCGUAGGUUCGAUCCCUGCGCAGGCCA
rnacentral:tRNA from 1 species